UACAGAGGUCGCAAGCGUUGUUCGGAUUCAUUGGGCGUAAAGGGUGCGUAGGCGGCGCGGUAAGUCGGGUGUGAAAUCUCGGGGCUUAACUCCGAAACUGCAUUCGAUACUGCCGUGCUUGAGGACUGGAGAGGAGACUGGAAUUUACGGUGUAGCGGUGAAAUGCGCAGAUAUCAGGAAGAACACCCGUGGCGAAGGCGGUUCUCUGGGACGGUACUGACGCUGAGACGCGAAAGCGUGGGGAGCGAACAGG
rnacentral:rRNA from 1 species